rnacentral:rRNA from 1 species
AUUGAACGCUGGCGGCAGGCUUAACACAUGCAAGUCGAGCGGGGUGAUGGUGCUUGCACUAUCACUUAGCGGCGGACGGGUGAGUAAUGCUUAGGAAUCUGCCUAUUAGUGGGGGACAACAUCUCGAAAGGGAUGCUAAUACCGCAUACGUCCUACGGGAGAAAGCAGGGGAUCACUUGUGACCUUGCGCUAAUAGAUGAGCCUAAGUCGGAUUAGCUAGUUGGUGGGGUAAAGGCCUACCAAGGCGACGAUCUGUAGCGGGUCUGUGAGGAGGAUCCGCCACACUGGGACUGAGACACGGCCCAGACUCCUACGGGAGGCAGCAGUGGGGAAUAUUGGACAAUGGGGGGAACCCUGAUCCAGCCAUGCCGCGUGUGUGAAGAAGGCCUUAUGGUUGUAAAGUACUUUAAGCGAGGAGGAGGCUCUUUUGGUUAAUACCCAAGAUGAGUGGACGUUACUCGCAGAAUAAGCACCGGCUAACUCUGUGCCAGCCGCCGCAGUAA